GCGGGUUUGAGACUCCCUAGGGUCCUUUCUCAAGGUAAACAAGUCUUCAUUUAAUUGGCUUUUCGACCCUUGUUCUGAUUCCCUAGCCGCCCUUGCAGAUUGGGCACCAGCUCCUUGCCAACAUCGAGGCGAUGAACCGGGCGAGGAGGGACGCCAUCCAGGCGGAGGAGCAUCGCCGGGCCGAAGUCACUCACCUCAAAGAAAAGGCCGCUGAAGUAGUUGCCCUCCAAGAGGCCCUGGAGAAAGAAAAGCAGGCC
rnacentral:lncRNA from 1 species